AAUGGGGCGCAGCCUGAUCCUCAAUGGCGUGUGUGUGAAGAAGGCCUUCUUGGUUGUAAAGUACUUUUAUCUGGGAGCGAAACGCGCCGGGCUAAUACCUCAGCGAACUGAAGGUACCUGAUGAAUAAGCACCGGCUAACUUCGUGCCCUCAACCGCGGUAAUACUAACGGGGCAAGCGUUAGUCCGAAUUACUGGGCGGAGAGCGUGUGUAAGCCGCACGUUAAUUCUGCCGUGAAAGCCCUGGGAUCAACCUGGGAACUGCGGUGGAUACUGGCGUGCUGGAGUGCGGUAAAGGAGGGUGGAAUUCCCUGUGU
rnacentral:rRNA from 1 species